rnacentral:ncRNA from 1 species
UUAAAUGCGUUGAACAGAAAUAGUAGGUAUUUUAGAGACCUUAAGAGAGAAGCCGGUUGGUGCGAGGCUUUGGUUUUCGGAUACCGAACCCGUCUGGGAGCAGCAGGAGGGAAAACUGAUCGAUUUCAGAAACUUCUGCCGGAGGUCACCGUGAUCAUAGACAAGUGGGAUUCCCACGCAGAGAGCAGACCAAUGGUCUGAAUUUAGGUGGUAACGCGGAUUUUUAUUCGUCCUAAGU